GUUGUGGCUCAGUGGUAGAACUCUUGCCUAGCAUGUGUGAGGUAUUGGGUUCGAUUUUCAGCACCACA
rnacentral:tRNA from 1 species